rnacentral:rRNA from 1 species
UACAGAGGUCUCAAGCGUUGUUCGGAUUCAUUGGGCGUAAAGGGUGCGUAGGCGGCGCGGUAAGUCGGGUGUGAAAUCUCGGAGCUUAACUCCGAAACUGCAUUCGAUACUGCCGUGCUUGAGGACUGGAGAGGAGACUGGAAUUUACGGUGUAGCGGUGAAAUGCGUAGAUAUCGUAAGGAAGACCAGUGGCGAAGGCGGGUCUCUGGACAGUUCCUGGACGCUGAGGCACGAAGGUCAGGGGGAGCAAACGGG